UUGCUUGCUUCAGCAGCACAUAUACUAAAAUUGGACUAAUGCAGACAAGAUUAGCAUGGCCCUGCAAGGGUGACACACAAAUCCGUGAAGUGUUCCACAUUUUU
ensembl:snRNA U6 U6 spliceosomal RNA